AGAAAAAUAAGCUAAGUUUAAGCUUACAGGUUCAUACCCUGUCCAUGGAAUUACCCUUUUUCUA
rnacentral:tRNA from 1 species